rnacentral:ncRNA from 1 species
GAUAACUGGCUUGUGGCGGCCAAGAGUUCAUAGCGACGUCGCCUUUUGAUCCUUCGAUGUCGUCUCUUCCUGUCAUUGUGAAGCAGAAUUCACCAAGCGUUGGAUUGUUCACCUACUAAUAGGGAACGUGAGCUGGGUUUAGACGUUAUGAGAUGGGUU